UACGGGGGGGGCAAGCGUUGUUCGGAAUUACUGGGCGUAAAGGGUCUGUAGGCGGCCAACUAAGUCGAACGUGAAAUCCCUCGGCUCAACCGGGGAACUGCGUCCGAUACUGGAUGGCUUGAAUCCGGGAGAGGGAUGCGGAAUUCCAGGUGUAGCGGUGAAAUGCGUGGAUAUCUGGAGGAACACCGGUGGCGAAGGCGGCAUCCUGGACCGGUAUUGACGCUGAGAGACGAAAGCCAGGGGAGCAAACGGG
rnacentral:rRNA from 1 species